rnacentral:rRNA from 1 species
UACGUAGGGCGCAAGCGUUGUCCGGAAUCAUUGGGCGUAAAGAGCUCGUAGGUGGUCUGUUACGUCUGCUGUGAAAUCCCUAGGGCUUAACCCUGGGCCUGCAGUGGAUACGGGCAGACUAGAGGUAGGUAGGGGAGAAUGGAAUUCCCGGUGUAGCGGUGAAAUGCGCAGAUAUCGGGAGGAACACCGGUGGCGAAGGCGGUUCUCUGGGCCUUACCUGACACUGAGGAGCGAAAGCGUGGGGAGCGAACAGG